GAUGAACGCUGGCGGCGUGCCUAAUACAUGCGAGUCGAGCGAACAGACGAGGAGCUUGCUCCUCUGACGUUAGCGGCGGACGGGUGAGUAACACGUGGAUAACCUACCUAUAAGACUGGGAUAACUUCGGGAAACCGGAGCUAAUACCGGAUAACAUGUUGAACCGCAUGGUUCAACAGUGAAAGACGGUUUUGCUGUCACUUAUAGAUGGAUCCGCGCCGCAUUAGCUAGUUGGUAAGGUAACGGCUUACCAAGGCAACGAUGCGUAGCCGACCUGAGAGGGUGAUCGGCCACACUGGAACUGAGACACGGUCCAGACUCCUACGGGAGGCAGCAGUAGGGAAUCUUCCGCAAUGGGCGAAAGCCUGACGGAGCAACGCCGCGUGAGUGAAGAAGGUCUUCGGAUCGUAAAACUCUGUUAUUAGGGAAGAACAAAUGUGUAAGUAACUAUGCACGUCUUGACGGUACCUAUCAGAAAGCCACGGCUAACUACGUG
rnacentral:rRNA from 1 species